ensembl:lncRNA
GAGCAGAAACGGGAGAUGGAAGCAUGUAAAUAUAAUAAUAACUGCUGCAGCCAAAAAGAGUGCCUGACAAGCCCAGUUAAGCCCCAAAGGAAGAAGUAUUCACUUAUCUCAUGAGGACUCUGCCCGUCCUCGCCUUGAUCACAGCCUUCUUCUGGCUCUACUAUGUAGGGAGCAAAGCUCAGCAGAACUCAAAAGCUUCUUCUGGAAAUAAACCAACUUCAAAUCAAAAGCAAGAGCAAGACGAGGAAGAGGAAGAAAGAGAUGGAAGAGCAGUAGAAGCAGCAAAUGAAUGUUAGAUAAAAGUGUCUGAUAAUUAAAUUUGAUUACAAAUAGAAGAACUAUAUUCUUUUGUUACUGAUCAGUUAAGAGUAUGUAUAGUUUUAUUCUUCAUUCAUUCAAAACAACAAAUGUUGGCACAACAAAAAGUGACUGCAC